GAUGAACGCUGGCGGCGUGCCUAAUACAUGCAAGUCGAGCGAACAGACGAGGAGCUUGCUCCUCUGACGUUAGCGGCGGACGGGUGAGUAACACGUGGAUAACCUACCUAUAAGACUGGGAUAACUUCGGGAAACCGGAGCUAGUACCGGAUAAUAUAUUGAACCGCAUGGUUCAAUAGUGAAAGACGGUUUUGCUGUCACUUAUAGAUGGAUCCGCGCCGCAUUAGCUAGUUGGUAAGGUAACGGCUUACCAAGGCAACGAUGCGUAGCCGACCUGAGAGGGGUGAUCGGCCAACUUGAAACGGAGACACGGCCCAAAUCCCUAGGGGGGGCAGCAGUAGGGAAUUUUCCGCAAGGGGGGAAAGCCGGAGGGGGAAACCCCGCGGGAGUGAUGAAGGUUUCCGGAUCGUAAAACUUUUUUUUUAGGGAAAAAAAAAGGUGAAAGAAACUAUCCACGUUUUGACGGUCCCAAAUCAAAAAGCCACGGCUAAAUACGU
rnacentral:rRNA from 1 species